rnacentral:rRNA from 1 species
CCCGUGAGGACGCCCUCUACCCCUACCCCAGGCUUAGGAGCUGGUAUCAGGCACAUUUCCCCGCCCAUUACACCUAGUCCCACCACGCCCCCAAGGGUACUCAGCAGUGAUAAACAUUGUAUAUAAGCGUCAGCUUGACCCAGUUAAAGAGAAGAGAGCCGGCCAACUUGGUGCCAGCCGCCGCGGCUAAACCAACUGGACUCAAAUUGAUACCCCCCCGGCGUUAAGCGUGAUUAAAGCCACCUACUAAUUAGAGUUAAACCUAACGUUGAGCAGUGAAAAGCACACGACAGGGAAACCCAAAAACGAAAGUUACUCUAAUCUCUGCUUGAAUACACGACAGCUAAAAAACAAACUGGGAUU